GUCCACGCCGUAAACGAUGUCAACUAGCCGUUGGAGACCUUAGAGUCUUUAGUGGCGCAGCUAACGCACUAAGUUGACCGCCUGGGGAGUACGGCCGCAAGGUUAAAACUCAAAUGAAUUGACGGGGGCCCGCACAAGCGGUGGAGCAUGUGGUUUAAUUCGAUGCAACGCGAAGAACCUUACCGCCCCUUGACAUCCUGGGAACUCGCUAGAGAUAGCUUGGUGCCGAAAGGAACCCAGAGACAGGUGCUGCAUGGCUGUCGU
rnacentral:rRNA from 1 species